GAUUAACGCUGGCGGCGUGCAUAACACAUGCAAGUCGAACGAUGAAACUUAAAUGAUUUCUUCGGAAUGAACUUAAGUGGCUUAUUGGCGGACUGGUGAGUAACUCGUGAGUAUCCUGCCUUACACAAGGGGAUAGCCGUUUGAAACGACGAAUAAUACCCUAUGACACUAUCACUUCGCAUGAUGCGAUUGUCAAAGUGUUAGCGGUGUAAGAUGGACUUGAGUCUGAUUAUCUUGUUGGUGAGAAAAAAGCCCACCAAGGCAAAGAUCAGUAGCCGGCUGGAGAGAGGGGACGGCAAAAUUGGGACAGAGACACGGCCCAGACGCCGAAGGGAGGGAGAAGUGGGGAAAUUGGAAAAAGGGGGGAAACACAGAAGAAGCGAGGCCGCGGGAUUUAGAAGGCAGUAGGGUUGUAAAAAUCUUUUGUAUAGGAAGAAAAUGACAGUACUAGAAGAAUAAGGGCCGGCUAAUUACGUG
rnacentral:rRNA from 1 species